rnacentral:rRNA from 1 species
UACGUAGGUGGCACGCGUUGUCCGGAUUUACUGGGCGUAAAGGGCGUGCAGGCGUUCUGUUAAGUUCAGGGUGAAAGCUCCCGGCUCAACUGGGAGAGGUCCUUGGAUACUGGCAGACUUGAGGGAGGUAGAGGAGAGUGGAAUUCCCGGUGUAGUGGUGAUAUGCGUAGAUAUCGGGAGGAACACCAGUGGCGAAGGCGGCUCUCUGGGCCUUACCUGACGCUGAGGAGCGAAAGCGUGGGGAGCGAACAGG